rnacentral:rRNA from 1 species
GCACGAGCGCACCCCUAUCAUUAGUUGCCAGCGGUUCGGCCGGGGCACUCUAAUGAGACUGUCUGGGAUAACCAGGAGGAAGGUGGGGAUGACGUCAAGUCCGUAUGUCCCUUAUGUCCAGGGCUACACACGUGUUACAAUGGCCGGUACAAAGGGUCGCGAAGCCGCAAGGUGAAGCCAAUCCCAUAAAACCGGCCCCAGUUCGGAUUGAAGUCUGCAACUCGACUUCAUGAAGUCGGAAUCGCUAGUAAUCGCGUAUCAGCACGACGCGGUGAAUACGUUCCCGGGUCUUGUACACACCGCCCGUCACGCCAUGGAAGUCGGUAGUGCCCAAAGCAGGUGGCCUAACCUUCGGGGAGGAGCCUGUUAAGGUAAGACUGGUAACUGGGGCGAAGUCGUAACAAGGUAGCCGUACCGGAAGGUGCGGCUGGAACACCUCCUUU